AUUGAACGCUGGCGGCAGGCCUAACACAUGCAAGUCGAGCGAGCGGCGGACGGGUGAGUAAUGUAUGGGGACUGCCCGAUAGAGGGGGAUAACUACUGGAAACGGUAGCUAAUACCGCAUACUAUCGGAUAACCCAUAUGGGAUUAGCUCGUAGGUGAGGUAAUGGCUCACCUAGGCGACGAUCCCUAGCUGGUCUGAGAGGAUGAUCAGCCACACAGGGACUGUAACACGUGCCAGACUCCGCCGGAGGCAGCAGUUGGGAAUAUUGCAAAAUGGGCGCAAGCCUGAUACAGCCAUGCCGCGUGUAUUAAGAAGGCCCUAGGGUUGUAAAGUACUUGCAGGCGGGAGGCGUUACCGACAGAAGAAGCACCGGCUAACUCCGUGCCAGCAGCCGCGGUAAUAC
rnacentral:rRNA from 1 species